AAUCACGUACGAAGCCUAAAGCACAACCUUGGGCCCUACUUAUGAAACACCAUUUAAAAAGCCUCUACAGAUUUCAGCUUAUCUUGAAUGUGUGAAGGUCCACCUUCUUGACAGAGUGAGCCACACUUCAGUCUGUGAAGAAGGGAAAAGAGGAUGUUCAAUAUAAAUCUGAACUGUGCAAUUCUCUCUCAAGGUACAUGUUGUAAAGAAGGGAGGGAAUUAAUUCUCCUGCUGCUUCUGCCACAAGUGGGAUUUAAGUGCCACAGCUUUAAAACCCACUGGCUGAUGCUUCAAGUAACUGUGACUGUCAUUUCCACCCUGCAUGUGGCCUCGAGACUUUCUGCUCAGUUU